rnacentral:lncRNA from 1 species
CUCCAGAGAUCAGUGGUGGCUUCAGGGGAAAAGCAGUUACAAGUGGAGUACCGCAUCAGCAAAAGUGCCUGGCUAAAGGACACGGUUGACCCAGUGCUGGUGACCCUUGACCGCCGCAUUGCUGCCCUCACAGGCCUCGACAUCCAGCCUCCGUACGCAGAGUAUCUCCAGGUGGUGAACUAUGGAAUUGGAGGGCACUAUGAGCCUCACUUCGACCAUGCUACGUCGCCCAGCAGCCCCCUGUACAAGAUGAAGUCCGGGAACCGAGUGGCAACGCUUAUGAUAUAUGUGAGUCUCGCUCUGGGAGGACCAGGGCUUCUUACUUAGUGGACGAGUAAACCAUUUUAUAAU